GCUCCCUUCGGGGAGCAAGUAGAGUGGCGCACGGGUGAGUAACACGUAGGUAAUCUACCUUUGGAUGGGGAAUAACAACCGGAAACGGUUGCUAAUACCGCAUAAUGCAGCGGCACCUAAUGGUGACAGUUGUUAAAGCGGGGGAUCGCAAGACCUCGCGUCUGAAGAGGAGCCUGCGGCAGAUUAGCUAGUUGGUAAGGUAACGGCUUACCAAGGCGAUGAUCUGUAGCCGGCCUGAGAGGGCGGUCGGCCACACUGACACUGACAUACGGGUCAGACUCCUACGGGAGGCAGCAGUCGGGAAUUUUGGGCAAUGGGCGAAAGCCUGACCCAGCGACGCCGCGUGAAGGAUGAAAUCCCUCGGGAUGUAAACUUCGCAAGAACAGGAAGAAUAAGUCGGUGUAAAUACCACCGACGAUGACGGUACUGUUUGUAAGCUCCGGCUAACUCCGUGCCAGCAGCCGCGGUAAUACGGGGGGAGCAAGCGUUGUUCGGAUUUACUGGGCGUAAAGGGCGCGUAGGCGGCCUCUGCAAGUCGACUGUGAAAUCUCCGGGCUUAACCCGGAACGGUCAGCCGAUACUGCAGGGCUAGAGUGCAGAAGGGGCAACUGGAAUUCUCGGUGUAGCGGUGAAAUGCGUAGAUAUCGAGAGGAACACCUGCGGCGAAGGCGGGUUGCUGGGCUGACACUGACGCUGAGGCGCGAAAGCUAGGGGAGCGAACGGGAUUAGAUACCCCGGUAGUCCUAGCCUUAAACGAUGAAUGCUUGGUGUCUGGGGUUUUAUAGUCCCCGGGUG
rnacentral:rRNA from 1 species